rnacentral:rRNA from 1 species
CCUACGGCGGCUGCAGUGGGGAAUAUUGGACAAUGGGCGAAAGCCUGAUCCAGCCAUGCCGCGUGUGUGAAGAAGGCCUUCGGGUUGUAAAGCACUUUCAGUGGGGAAGAAAGCCUUGGGGCUAAUACCCUCGAGGAAGGACAUCACCCACAGAAGAAGCACCGGCUAACUCCGUGCCAGCAGCCGCGGUAAUACGGAGGGUGCGAGCGUUAAUCGGAAUUACUGGGCGUAAAGCGCGCGUAGGCGGUCUGAUAAGCCGGUUGUGAAAGCCCCGGGCUCAACCUGGGAACGGCAUCCGGAACGGUCAGGCUAGAGUGCAGGAGAGGAAGGUAGAAUUCCCGGUGUAGCGGUGAAAUGCGUAGAGAUCGGGAGGAAUACCAGUGGCGAAGGCGGCCUUCUGGACUGACACUGACGCUGAGGUGCGAAAGCGUGGGUAGCAAACAGGAUUAGAUACCCGAGUAGU